AUUGAACGCUGGCGGCAUGCCUUACACAUGCAAGUCGAACGGCAGCACGGGAGCAAUCCUGGUGGCGAGUGGCGAACGGGUGAGUAAUAUAUCGGAACGUGCCCGGUCGUGGGGGAUAACGUAGCGAAAGCUACGCUAAUACCGCAUACGAUCUACGGAUGAAAGCGGGGGAUCGCAAGACCUCGCGCGAUUGGAGCGGCCGAUAUCAGAUUAGGUAGUUGGUGAGGUAAAGGCUCACCAAGCCGACGAUCUGUAGCUGGUCUGAGAGGACGACCAGCCACACUGGGACUGAGACACGGCCCAGACUCCUACGGGAGGCAGCAGUGGGGAAUUUUGGACAAUGGGCGCAAGCCUGAUCCAGCAAUGCCGCGUGCAGGAUGAAGGCCUCGGUGUAACU
rnacentral:rRNA from 1 species